rnacentral:lncRNA from 1 species
GUAACUUAGCAUUUCUUAUGAUUUAUUCUUCAUGCCUCGGAUACUUUUUAUUAUUCGUCACGCUUUGUUGUUUUACCAAUGCUCCUCGCAAUUUGUUAUUUUAUAUCACGCUACAAUUUACUUGUGGCAUCAUGAUCAAUUAUUUUUUUCCUGAGCUUCUCAAAUAUUUGCCUCUUUACGCCAAUCAGAACUUUUCAAAAUCGUCUUCCCAGUCCUCUUCCUGCCUUCCUCCCGAACGACUUGAAGCAGAAGUCAUUUUCCUGACUUCCUGCGUUGAGUAAGAUUUUAUGAAGUCAUAUUCCUGACUUCUUCCCGAACGGCUUGAAGCAGGAGUCAUUUUCCUGACUUCCUGCAUUGAGUGGGGUUUUCUGAAGUCAUUUUCCUGACUUCUCCCUGAACACCUCUCCCCCAAUUUUCCUGAGGCAGGAGUCAUUUUCUUGCCUUCCUACAUUGGGUGGAGUUUUCUGAAGUCAUUUUCCUAACUUCACCCCGAACACACCUCCCUCAAUUGUCCUGAAGCAGGAGUAAUUUUCCUGACUUCCUACGUUGGACGGGUUUUCUGAAGUCAUUUUCUUGACUUCUUCCCGAACACCUCUCCCCCGAUCGUCUUAAGGCAAGAGUCAUUUUCCUGACUUCAUGCGUGGAGCGGAGUUUUCUGAAGUCAUUUUCCUGAGUUCUCCCCGAACACACCUCCCCCGAUCAUCUUGAGACAUGAGUAAUUUUCCUGACUUCCUGCGUUAGUCGAGGUUUUCUGAAAUCAUUUUCCUGACUUCUUCACGAACACACCUCCCCCGAUCGUCUUGAAAUAAGAAUACUUCCUACGUUGGACGGAGUUUUCUGAAAACAAGUAUUAUAUAUAUAAAAAAGAAUUUUAAUAUUUUAAUUUAAGAACAGUGUUUUAAUCCAGCAAACCCAUAUACAAGAUUUGAGGAAGAAUACUAGGUAAAUUAGAGUUUAAAUUAAGAAAAUAAAAUCCCAAAAUUCAUAAUUAAUAAUAAUAUAAAAAAAUUUGCGUAGUUGACCUAUGUGAUUGUGAUGGGCGUGAUUGAACGCGUUUUGAACUCCACUAUUAAGUCCUUCAUUGGGAGAGCCUUACGAACUGACAC